GACGUAGGGCGCGAGCGUUGUCCGGAUUUAUUGGGCGUAGAGAGCUCGUAGGCGGCUUGUCGCGUCGACUGUGAAAGCCCACGGCUUAACCGUGGGAUUGCAGUCGAUACGGGCAGGCUCGAGUUCGGUAGGGGAGACUGGAAUUCCUGGUGUAGCGGUGAAAUGCGCAGAUAUCAGGAGGAACACCGGUGGCGAAGGCGGCUCUCUGGACCAUAACUGACACUGAGGCACGAAAGCCGGGGGAGCAAACAGG
rnacentral:rRNA from 1 species